rfam:Ixodes scapularis strain Wikel colony gcontig_1108379469314, whole genome shotgun sequence.
GCAAUCGUGGCCGAGUGGUUAAGGCGAUGGACUAGAAUCCAUCGGGGUCUCCCCGCACAGGUUUGAAUCCUGUCGACUGCG